ACCAGGCGUGCCCGAACAAAUCAAAGCGUGCAGAGGACAUUUUGGUAGUUUUUCCACCUUCAAAACCAGUACAAUAUAUACAUAUUUAUUUUGAAAUAUUGAAAUUUUGGGCAAAAUUUUAGUUUGAUUGCUGGAGAGCCAAAGCCAAACUGAAAUGCUAACAGUUAGCACGCUGGACAGAUAGCAAAAAAAUGUAUGAGGAAAGCGAGCAAAAAAAAAGCCGUAGCAACACUCCAGCCUCCUGCCAUAGCGACAUACACCUUGUUGGAUUCCAGGAGAGACUUGUCUGUGAUGCCUGUGUCGAGGAGCAGAGGAGUUCAAGGGAGACGGAACAGGGAGACUGAACAGGAUCGCUGACGGUCUGCCAACUUCCGGCGCCCCUUAUAAAAAAGGUUCUCCAAUUAGAUUCCACAAUUAGAACCCACAGCUUAUCUGACCCAUCCAGCACCACACAAAACGAUGAAAACGACAUUCUCAGCAUCUGUGUCUACAUUUUGCUCCCCUCGCUCUCUAUCACUACCCAAACACACUAAAUUUUCAUGCGAGCAUUGUUAUGCUCUAUCGCUGUUUUCAUUGU